rnacentral:rRNA from 1 species
GAAUUUUAUAUAAAUUUAUUUAAAUAUUUAAUAUAUAAAUUAUAUUAGUAUAAUCUGUAUUUUAUUUGGAAUAAAAACUUAUAUUUAAUUGGGAGGAUUAUUAAAUUAAAUAAACUUUAAAUUGAAAUUAUUACAUUAAUAAAUGAAGUAAAAAUAAUUAGAGGAAUGAUUAAUAAAUUAAUAAAGAAAUAAUUACCUUAGGGAUAACAGCGUAAUAUUUUUGGAUAGAUCAUAUAAAUAAGAAUGAUUGC